UACAGAGGGUGCGAGCGUUAAUCGGAAUUACUGGGCGUAAAGGGUGCGUAGGUGGUUAUUUAAGUCAGAUGUGAAAUCCCUAGGCUUAACCUAGGAAUUGCGUUUGAGACUGAAUAGCUAGAGUGCAGUAGAGGGAAGUGGAAUUUCCGGUGUAGCGGUGAAAUGCGUAGAUAUCGGAAGGAACAUCAGUGGCGAAGGCGACUUCCUGGACUGUAACUGACACUGAGGCACGAAAGCGUGGGGAGCAAACAGG
rnacentral:rRNA from 1 species